AGCAUGUGCCUGUUCUUGAAGAGGAAACUGCACCCUGUGUGACUUGGCUCCUGGGCCUGGAGAAGCCAGAAUCUCUAUGUAAUAGGAACUGGAGUUGACCCUCUUCCUUUCCCAGCAGGGCAGGGAAAUUCUCUGUCUGAAGAGAAACUUGGUUUUGUGGUUAAACUUUCAGGAACUUCUUCUUCUAAUGCUGGAAUACUAUGCGUUGUACAGGAUCUUAGAUAAAUGCAGGAGAAAAAUUCUACCCAGGAUCCCUUUGCCUCUCCUCCUGCUGCAUCCCUUCCUUACCUAGAAAAGAGAAGAGCAGAAGCAGGAGGAAUCAUAACUCUGUGCCUGGCUGGAGCCGAGAGAGAGGGCAGUGCUGAAGGCAGAUCAGAGCAAUAGCAGUUACCUUCUCUCUGAACCCUCCUAUCCCACACUGGCAUUGUUAGAGGAAGUGACUGAGCUUUGUGGCUUACUACUUGGCUCAGCACAGAAAUCUUUCACUACAGUUUAACAACCAAAUUCAUACUUGAGUAAUUUAAUUGUCUUCUGAACUGGCUAAAUCCUAUUGAUAAGGACAUCGAGGUGUUAGAAUUCAAGGACAAGCUGUUGUCUUUGAGAGACCCCUGGGACAGCCUCAGAAAGAAUGCUGACACUUGCACUAGCAACAUCAUUAAAGUCAGCCGGUCCUUGGCCUCAGAAUUAUAGAGUAGUUCAGUUGGAAGGAGUCUAUGAUGCUCAUCAAGUCCAACUGCCUGAGGACUUCAGGGCUACUCAAAAGUUAAAGCAUAUUAUUGAGGACAUCAUCCAAAAUGCCUCUUGAACGUCACCCGGCGUGGGCAGCCACUACCUCUCUAGAAAGCCUGUUCCAGUGUCUGACCACCCUCACAAUAAAGAAAUUUUUAUUAUUGUCUGGUCUGAACCUCCUCUGGCACAGCUUUGUGUUGUUCCCAUGUGUCCUGUCAUCAGUUAAUGGGGAGAAGGGACCGUUACCUCCGUGUUCCUUCCUCAGGAAGGUGCAGAGAGCAAUGAGGCUGCCUUUGAGCCUUCUCUUCUCCAGACCGGACAACCCAAGUGUCUUCAGCCCUGGUGCUCCGCAGCCUUGGCUUCAACCCUGUGGAGGCACUUGA
rnacentral:lncRNA from 1 species